rnacentral:misc_RNA from 1 species
GAAAUGCGAUAAGUAAUGCGAAUUGCAGAAUUUCCGUGAGUCAUCGAAUCUUUGAACGCACAUUGCGCCCAUUGGUAUUCCGAUGGGCAUGCCUGUUCGAGCGUCAUUGCUGCCCUUCAAGCCCGGCUUGUGUGUUGGGUCGUCGUCCCCUCCGGGGGACGGGCCCGAAAGGCAGCGGCGGCACCGCGUCCGGUCCUCGAGCGUAUGGGGCUUUGUCACCCGCUCGAUAAGGACCGGCCGGGCGCCAGCCGGCGUCUCCAACCUUUUUUUCUCAGGUUGACCUCGGAUCAGGUAGGGAUACCCGCUGAACUUAAGC